GAUUGCCCUAGUAACGGCGAGUGAAGCGGCAAAAGCUCAAAUUUGAAAUCUGGCCUCGGCCCGAGUUGUAAUUUGUAGAGGAUGUUUCGGGCACCGCCCCGGCGUAAGUCCCUUGGAACAGGGCGUCAUAGAGGGUGAGAAUCCCGUCUGGCGUCGUGGUAGGGCCCAUGUGAAACUCCUUCGACGAGUCGAGUUGUUUGGGAAUGCAGCUCAAAAUGGGUGGUAAAUUUCAUCUAAAGCUAAAUACUGGCCAGAGACCGAUAGCGCACAAGUAGAGUGAUCGAAAGAUGAAAAGCACUUUGAAAAGAGAGUUAAACAGUAUGUGAAAUUGUUGAAAGGGAAGCGCUUACAACCAGACUUGAGCCCGUCGGUUCCCCCUCGCUUCUGCGUGGGCUACUCCGGCGGGUCCAGGCCAACAUCGGUUCGGGUGGCUGGUCAAAGGCCCCGGGAAUGUACCUCACCUUCGGGUUAGGCUUAUAGCCCGGGGUGUCAUGCGGCCUACCUGGACCGAGGAACGCGCUUCGGCUCGGAUGUUGGCGUAAUGGUUGUCAGCGACCCGUCUUGAAACACGGACCAAGGAGUCGAAGAGCUAUGCGAGUGUUUGGGUGUCAAACCCGUACGCGUAAUGAAAGUGAACGGAGGUAGGAAGCUUCGGCUGCACUAUCGACCGAUCCUGAUGUUCUCGGAUGGAUUUGAGUAAGAGCAUAACUCUCCGGACCCGAAAGAUGGUGAACUAUGCCUGAAUAGGGUGAAGCCAGAGGAAACUCUGGUGGAGGCUCGCAGCGGUUCUGACGUGCAAAUCGAUCGUCAAAUUUGGGUAUAGGGGCGAAAGACUAAUCGAACCAUCUGGUAGCUGGUUCCUGCCGAAGUUUCCCUCAGGAUAGCAGUAACGUUUUCAGUUUUAUGAGGUAAAGCGAAUGAUUAGAGGCCUUGGGGUUGAAACAACCUUAACCUAUUCUCAAACUUUAAAUAUGUAAGAAGUCCUUGUUACUUAGUUGAACGUGGACAUUUGAAUGUAUCGUUACUAGUGGGCCAUUUUUGGUAAGCAGAACUGGCGAUGCGGGAUGAACCGAACGUGAGGUUAAGGUGCCGGACUGCACGCUCAUCAGACACCACAAAAGGUGUCAAUGCAUCUAGACAGCCGGACGGUGGCCAUGGAAGUCGGAAUCCGCUUAGGAGUGUGUAACAACUCACCGGCCGAAUGCAUUGGCCCUGAAAAUGGAUGGCGCUUAAGCGUGCGACCUAUACCUCGCCGUCAGGGUUGACAUGAUGCCCUGACGAGUAGGCAGGCGUGGAGGUUUGUGACGAAGC
rnacentral:rRNA from 1 species